GACGAACGCUGGCGGCGUGCUUAACACAUGCAAGUCGAACGGUAAGGCCCUUCGGGGUACACGAGUGGCGAACGGGUGAGUAACACGUGGGUGAUCUGCCCUGCACUUCGGGAUAAGCCUGGGAAACUGGGUCUAAUACCGGAUAGGACCACUGCCCGCAUGGGUGGUGGUGGAAGGCUUUUGCGGUGUGGGAUGGGCCCGCGGCCUAUCAGCUUGUUGGUGGGGUGAUGGCCUACCAAGGCGACGACGGGCAGCCGGCCUGAGAGGGUGACCGGCCACACUGGGACUGAGAUACGGCCCAGACUCCUACGGGAGGCAGCAGUGGGGAAUAUUGCACAAUGGGCGCAAGCCUGAUGCAGCGACGCCGCGUGAGGGAUGACGGCCUUCGGGUUGUAAACCUCUUUCAGCACCGACGAAGCGCAAGUGACGGUAGGUGCAGAAGAAGGACCGGCCAACUACGUGCCAGCCGCCGCGGUAA
rnacentral:rRNA from 1 species